GACGAACGCUGGCGGCGCGCCUAACACAUGCAAGUCGAACGAGCGAGAGAGAGCUUGCUUUCUCGAGCGAGUGGCGAACGGGUGAGUAACGCGUGAGGAACCUGCCUCAAAGAGGGGGACAACAGUUGGAAACGACUGCUAAUACCGCAUAAGCCCACGGUGUCGCAUGGCACAGAGGGAAAAGGAGCAAUCCGCUUUGAGAUGGCCUCGCGUCCGAUUAGCUAGUUGGUGAGGUAAUGGCCCACCAAGGCGACGAUCGGUAGCCGGACUGAGAGGUUGAACGGCCACAUUGGGACUGAGACACGGCCCAGACUCCUACGGGAGGCAGCAGUGGGGAAUAUUGCACAAUGGGGGAAACCCUGAUGCAGCGACGCCGCGUGGAGGAAGAAGGUCUUCGGAUUGUAAACUCCUGUUGUUGGGGAAGAUAAUGACGGUACCCAACAAGGAAGGACGG
rnacentral:rRNA from 1 species